rnacentral:tRNA from 1 species
GGAGUAAUACUCAGAGGCGCCCUUGCUAAGGGUGUAGGCCGGGAAACUGGCGCGAGAGUUCGAAUCUCUCUUACUCCG